rnacentral:rRNA from 1 species
UACAGAGGUCCCAAGCGUUGUUCGGAUUUACUGGGCGUAAAGGGUGCGUAGUGGUCGGGUAAGUCUCAUGUGAAAUCCCGGCAGCUUAACUGCGGAACGCAUGGAUACUAUUCGGCUCGAGGAUUGGAGGGGGACUGGAAUUCCCGGUGUAGCAGUGAAAUGCGUAGAUAUCGGGAGAACACCAGUGGCGAAGGCGAGUCCCUGGACAAUUCCUGACGCUGAGGCACGAA